rnacentral:tmRNA from 1 species
GGGUGUGCAAAGGUUUCGACGGGGUUGUUAUGCUAUAGAUAGCAGGUCAGGCUGACCGCUGUGAGAGGUCAACUCAUCGUUUAGAUGAAAACAACAAUUACGCUUUAGCAGCAUAGUUCUGCUUGCCUCUAGUCUUUCUUUUCUGUAGGAGAGGCUGAUAGAGGUAUAACCUAAAUACAGAUUACCUACAUUGACUCCUUUAAGGUAGUAGGGACAUUCUAAAGGAUAGCUGUUGUCAGCCCUGUUUGCGGGAGUGACCAUAGCGAAAUCAAAUAGCAAACUAAACUUGUAGAAGUUUAUGGUAGUAGCAGUUUCGGACAUGGGUUCGAUUCCCAUCACAUCCACCA